rnacentral:rRNA from 1 species
AUGGAGAUGGUGGAGAAGCUUUCUCUCACCACAAGACCACAUCCACAUCCUUACUACAUCCAAUGGUUCAACAACAGCGGCAAGGUUAAGGUAACACGUACUGUUCGUGUGCAUUUUAGUAUCUCUACAUAUGCUGAUUAUGUUGAUUGUGAUGUGGUACCUAUGCAAGCAUGUUCCUUAUUACUUGGUAGACCAUGGCAAUUUGAUAAAAAUUCUGUACACCAUGGUAGAAACAAUCACUAUACUCUUGUUCAUAAGGAUAAAAAUAUUACUUUGCUUCCUAUGACUCCUGAUUCCAUUUUGAAAGAUGAUAUGAAUAGAGCUAAUAAAGCACAACAGGAGAAGAAUAAGAGUGAAAAUCAGAUUGUGGCAAAAGAAUUUGAGCAACAAAUGAAGCCUAAUAAUAAACCAUCUAGUGUUGCUUCUGAAAUUAAAUUGAAAAGUGCAUGUUUAUUUGCCACCAAAUCUGAUAUUGAUGAGCUAGAUUUCAGCAAAUCUGUUUGCUAUGCUUUUGUGUGCAAAGAGGCAUUAUUUUCAUUCGAGGACGUGCCUUCCUCUUUGCCUCCUGCUGUUACUAACAUUUUGCAGGAGUUCGCUGACGUUUUUCCACAAGACGUGCCACCGGGAUUACCGCCUAUUCGAGGGAUUGAGCAUCAGAUUGACUUAAUUCCCGGUGCUUCACUACCAAACCGUGCACCAUACCGUACCAAUCCAGAGGAGACGAAGGAGAUUAUGCGUCAAGUACAAGAGCUUCUCGACAAAGGUUAUAUACGCGAAUCCCUUAGUCCUUGUGCUGUUCCUAUUAUUCUAGUGCCGAAAAAGGAUGGUACAUCACGUAUGUGUGUUGAUUGUAGAGGCAUUAAUAAUAUUACUAUUCGUUAUCGUCAUCCUAUUCCUAGGCUAGAUGAUAUGCUUGAUGAAUUGAGUGGCUCUACAAUAUUCUCCAAAGUUGAUUUGCGUAGUGGCUACCAUCAAAUUCGUAUGAAAUUGGGAGAUGAAUGGAAAACAGCAUUUAAAACUAAGUUUGGAUUAUAUGAGUGGUUAGUCAUGCCUUUUGGGUUAACUAAUGCACCUAGUACUUUCAUGAGAUUAAUGAACGAAGUUUUACGUGCUUUCAUUGGACGAUUUGUGGUAGUUUACUUUGAUGACAUAUUGAUUUAUAGCAGAUCUUUGGAAGAACAUUUGGAACAUUUACGUGCUGUUUUUAUUGCUCUACGUGAUGCACGUUUGUUUGGUAACCUUGGGAAGUGCACCUUUUGCACCGACCGAGUAUCUUUUUUUGGCUAUGUUGUUACUCCACAGGGAAUUGAAGUUGAUAAAGCCAAGAUUGAAGCUAUUGAGAGUUGGCCGCAGCCCAAAACGGUCACACAAGUGAGGAGUUUUCUUGGCCUCGCUGAAUUCUAUAGGCGUUUUGUGAGAGAUUUCAGCACCAUUGCUGCACCUCUCAAUGAGCUUACAAAGAAAGAUGUGCCUUUUCUUUGGGGUACCGCACAGGAAGAAGCCUUCACGGUAUUGAAAGAUAAGUUGACACAUGCUCCUUUACUCCAACUUCCUGAUUUUAAUAAGACUUUUGAGCUUGAAUGUGAUGCUAGUGGAAUUGGAUUAGGCGGUGUGUUAUUACAAGAUGGCAAACCUGUUGCAUACUUUUCUGAAAAAUUGAGUGGGCCUAGUCUGAAUUAUUCUACUUAUGAUAAAGAAUUAUAUGCUCUUGUUCGGACUUUAGAAACAUGGCAACAUUAUUUAUGGCCCAAAGAAUUUGUUAUACAUUCUGAUCAUGAAUCUUGGAAACAUAUUAAAAGUCAAGCUAAACUGAACCGUAGACAUGCUAAAUGGGUUGAAUUCAUUGAGACUUUUCCUUAUGUCAUUAAACACAAGAAGGGAAAAGAAAAUGUUAUUGCUGAUGCAUUGUCUCGCCGCUAUACUAUGCUUUCACAACUUGACUUCAAAAUAUUUGGUUUGGAAACCAUCAAAGAUCAAUAUGUGCAUGAUGCUGAUUUUAAAGAUGUAAUGCAGAAUUGUAAAGAAGGAAGAAUGUGGAACAAGUUUGUUGUUAACGAUGGAUUUGUGUUUCGUGCUAACAAGCUAUGCAUUCCAGCUAGCUCCGUUCGUCUUUUGUUGUUGCAGGAGGCGCAUGGAGGAGGAUUAAUGGGACACUUUGGCGUGAAGAAGACGGAGGACGUACUUGCUACACAUUUCUUUUGGCCAAAGAUGAGACGGGAUGUUGAGCGUUUUAUUGCUCGCUGCACUACAUGUCAAAAAGCUAAGUCACGCCUCAAUCCUCAUGGUUUAUAUAUGCCUUUGCCUGUACCUAGUGUUCCUUGGGAGGAUUUAUCUAUGGACUUUGUUUUAGGUUUACCUCGAACAAAGAAGGGGAGGGAUAGCAUAUUUGUUGUCGUGGAUAGAUUCUCGAAAAUGGCACACUUUAUACCAUGUCAUAAAAGCGAUGAUGCUAUUAAUGUUGCUGAUUUGUUCUUUCGUGAAAUUAAUCGUGAUACUAAAUUUCUUAGCCACUUUUGGAGAUGUUUAUGGGCUAAGUUGGGGACUAAACUGCUUUUUAGUACUACUUGUCACCCCCAAACUGAUGGACAAACUGAAGUAGUCAAUAGAACGUUGUCUACUAUGCUUAGGGCUGUUUUGAAGAAUAAUAAGAAAAUGUGGGAGGAAUGCUUGCCUCAUAUUGAAUUUGCUUAUAAUCGUUCAUUGCAUUCUACUACUAAGAUGUGCCCUUUUGAAGUUGUGUAUGGUUUCCUACCUCGUGCACCUAUUGAUUUGUUGCCUCUUCCAUCUUCGGAGAAGGUUAAUUUUGAUGCUAAACAACGUGCUGAAUUGAUUUUAAAAAUGCAUGAGUUAACUAAGGAAAACAUUGAGCGCAUGAAUGCUAAAUAUAAACUUGCUGGACAUAAGGGUAGAAAACAUGUUGUGUUUGCACCUGGAGAUCUUGUUUGGUUACAUUUGCGUCAGGAUAGAUUUCCUGAUUUGCGCAAAUCAAAGCUAAUGCCACGUGCUGAUGGUCCCUUUAAGGUGUUAGAGAAAAUAAAUGAUAAUGCAUAUAAACUUGAGCUGCCUGCAGAUUUUGGGAUUAGUCCCACUUUUAACAUUGCAGAUUUGAAGCCUUAUUUGGGUGAGGAAGAUGAACUUCCGUCGAGGACGACUUCAUUUCAAGAAGGGGAGGAUGAUGAGGACAUCAAUACAAUUGUUACACCCACAGCCCCUGCUGCUAUACAUACUGGACCAAUUACUAGAGCCCGUGCACGCCAACUAAAUUACCAGUUUCUUGCUUGUUCUUCGUUUGCUCGCAGGAAACAGACCCACGUGGUCAGGUUGAUCAUGCUCCGGCGUGGUCAAUAA